UAGAAUUACCACGAGUCAAAGUUGAACAACAUUAACUAAAAUAAAACUUGUCUUAUCAAAUAUGAUUGAUUGACAAGAAAUUGUAUGGUGAUAAUCUUGCAAAACUCUGCCAAAUGGGCGGGUUCGCAUCUAACGCCCACAUAGUUGCCCCCCAAAACCGUCCCAUACAUUUUAUGCACGCCGAGUGUCCUCAGGCACGCGCACUAAGAUGGCUCGUGCAGACCUCAAUUUGACGUCCGUUUGCAAAAAGGUUUAAUCCCUUACUCCGGGUAUUCUCCCAUUCUCGUGUCAAACUGAAACCUUGGCGCCCCCCUUCUAUAGCCCACCGGAGAUUAACUCUUUCGAGUUCCGCCGGUCGAUGCGACGAUCAUACCGAGAUCUGAAAUCCGCCGGAGUCAGAGCCUAUUUCUUGUUGAAUCUGAGCUCAAAGGGAGACCCACUUUUCAGAAGAAGCAAGACCGUGACUUAAAGCAGACGUGUCUUAAAGGUCCAAAACAAGAGGCCGAGACCUAGAGCCACAGCUUUAUAUACAAUACAAUUCAACUGAUCAAUUAAUCCAUGAAAGCCAUAGCAACUCUCUUCAUCCAUCUCCCAAGGAAAAGCAGCACUAAGCUAAACAUGUUCUCACUUUCAGACAUGCCUUCGUGUCGACGAUGCUAUCAGCCUAUGCCUCCUUGACCGCUUCCACCAUGCUCAUUCGGUUGGUGGCCAACGAGUUCAUACCCCAUCAGAUCCAAGACUACAUUUUCUCGGGCCUCCGCUACCUAUUCUCCCCUCGGCCUUCUCAGCUCAUGCUCAUCUUCGAAGAAUUCAGUGGGAUCACCCGCAAUCAAGUCUAUGAGGCGGCCGAGUUGUACCACGAAGAUCACCCCCUCGAUCGAACGUCUAAAGGUGUGCAAGGCCCCCAGAGAAAAGAACCUUGCCAUCACAAUAAAGAAAGGCAAAGAGGCCGUGGAUGCCUUCGAAGGAGUUCAGCUCAAAUGGAAAUUCGUUUGCUCUGAUAACGAGAGGACUGGCGGAGCGAUAAUUUGAGCUCAGAUUCAACAAGAAAUACAGAGAAUAGGUGUUGGAUUUUUUACUUGCAAUUUGUGUUAAGCAAAUCGAAGGCACUCAAGGAGGAUAAGAAGGUAGUAAAGCUUCAUACUCUCGGCUUCUUUUACGAGGAGGCGGAGGCGGAGGUGUAUGGGGAUCAAUCAAUCUCGACCCACUCCCCUGUUUGAACGGUAUGAACAAAAGAGGGGACUGGGUUUUAGCUCGGUUACUCGUGAAAAUCGGUUGAAAACUGUUGGAAAAUGGGGUCACUGUACUUUUGGAGGAUAAGUUCUAUUUGCCCCUUACGAGUUUGCUAUUGGGUUAUAAACAAAUCUGUUCCCAGGAUACAAUAGAACUUUGGGCAAGAAUCAGCGAUCACCAAAGUUGAAAAAUCUCCAAAAAAACCUUUUGUGAGGCUGUAGCAUACCGAACUGAGAGAGAGAGUGGAUUUCGAAAAUCUGUGUUUUUGAAGUCUGAUUCCUACUACUUAGUUAACUUUGAAUUGUGCUUCUUGAUCACACUCAAUUGAAUCGUGAUUGUUAAUUUCAUCAA